GAGGAAUAUUGGUCGAUGGACGGAAGUCUGAACCAGCCAAGUAGCGUGCAGGAAGACGGCCCUAUGGGUUGUAAACUGCUUUUGUAUGGGGAUAAAGUCAAUCACGUGUGAUUGUUUGCAGGUACCAUACGAAUAAGGACCGGCUAAUUCCGUGCCAGCAGCCGCGGUAAUACGGAAGGUUCGGGCGUUAUCCGGAUUUAUUGGGUUUAAAGGGAGCGUAGGCCGGAGAUUAAGUGUGUUGUGAAAUGUAGACGCUCAACGUCUGACUUGCAGCGCAUACUGGUUUCCUUGAGUACGCACAACGUUGGCGGAAUUCGUCGUGUAGCGGUGAAAUGCUUAGAUAUGACGAAGAACUCCGGUUGCGAAGGCAGCUGACGGGAGCGCAACUGACGCUGAAGCUCGAAGGUGCGGGUAUCGAACAGGAUUAGAUACCCUGGUAGUCCGCACAGUAAACGAUGGAUGCCCGCUGUUGGUACCUGGUAUCAGCGGCUAAGCGAAAGCAUUAAGCAUCCCACCUGGGGAGUACGCCGGCAACGGUG
rnacentral:rRNA from 1 species